rnacentral:rRNA from 1 species
AUUGAACGCUGGCGGCAGGCCUAACACAUGCAAGUCGAACGGUAACAGGAAGCAGCUUGCUGCUUUUCUGACGAGUGGCGGACGGGUGAGUAAUGUCUGGGAAACUGCCCGAUGGAGGGGGAUAACUACUGGAAACGGUAGCUAAUACCGCAUAACGUCGCAAGACCAAAGAGGGGGACCUUAGGGCCUCUUGCCAUCGGAUGUGCCCAGAUGGGAUUAGCUAGUAGGUGGGGUAACGGCUCACCUAGGCGACGAUCCCUAGCUGGUCUGAGAGGAUGACCAGCCACACUGGAACUGAGACACGGCCCAGACUCCUACGGGAGGCAGCAGUGGGGAAUAUUGCACAAUGGGCGAAAGCCUGAUGCAGCCAUGCCGCGUGUAUGAAGAAGGCCUUCGGGUUGUAAAGUACUUUCAGCGGGGAGGAAGGGAGUAAAGUUAAUACCUUUGCUCAUGGACGUUACCCGCAGAAGAAGCACCGGCUAACUCCGU